GGUACCAGCCCUGGGAACUCUGUAAAAGAGAAACAGUAGGACCUCUUCUGUCUUCGGACUGCUGACAUCUCACUCAGCCUUAGGUCACUUUCUGGAGCUGGGAGGCUGUCAGAUUGUUCAUUGCUAAAGCUGAGGUUUCGGGAUGUCCCCUUCUGUCUGCUGGCCAAGAAAUUCCAGGGCCAGAGAAGCUUUCAAGAGAAGGCACGCUAGGAAGAGCUGCACACCUAGGUUGAAAAGAAACCAGGAAGAGGUAUGGGUGACAAUUCUGGGCUACUGGUGGCACAGAACACUGGAAACCUCAACCAAUUUCUCAGCUUCCUUGUGGACAGCCUCUCUCUUGAUUCUGCCUUAAGACCUCUUUCCUGGGCUCCAGUUCUGCUUUGUCUACUGGACAUCAGAGAUGCUAAGAAGAAUGUGGUGUUGUUGUUUUAUAUUUUACCAAAGCUGCUUCCUUCCAGAGGUUGCACCUUUACCCUUGUUCCUCUUCUGAAGCCUGCCUAGAAUAAACCAAGCCAUCUGCACAUCUUGGCCCUUUACAUAUCGGAGGGCACCUGUCAUGCUCACCCUCAUCCACUUUUCCCACCUCCUGACUAAAGAUUCCUCUUUCCCUCACCGUCCUCUAGCAUAGUUUCCAAAUCCUCCAUCGUCUCUGAUGGCCUUGUUAUAAGCAUUCCAGUUUGUCUUCUUCCUCCUAAAUCAGAGUGCUCUCCUCCUUUGGACAGUCUGUACACAAAGCCUAAUUGGAUUGGCUUUGGAGCAGAACCAAUGACACUUUAUGUGUGCAUUUAACUAGAAUUUCUGUAGGUUUUUUUUUUUUCUUUCCCACAUGAGCCACUAACAUCAAAACUUUAACAAUUUGUUCAUGUCCAAAUAUUGAUACUUAAGUACCAGCUUUAAAAAAUAUUUCUAUUAUAAUUUAUUUUAUUUCUAUCUAUGGUCCCUUAAGACAUUUUUAAAAUCUAGAUUAUACCAUUUCAAAGUGCUGAUUAUCACUAAUCUAUAGUAUGGCCUACCUUUGCCAUACCUUCUUAGAUGAUGUUGCAUACUUUCAUCUAAGACUAUUUGACAGGUAAAGAGCCUACAUAAAUAUAGUAUUUUGCAUCCCUAAUUUUUUCUUGUUCAUGAGACUACAAAUACCUUUUCACACACUUUACUGAAAUCAAGAUAUGUGAGAUAGAACACUACUUGCUUUAUUGGUCAAAUAACCUCUGAGAAAAAGGAAGUGGUAAUGAGUGAUCUAACACUGUGAAUGUAUCCAAUUGGAUUUUGGGUGAUCCUUACAUUCCUUUAGUGUAUUUAAAAGUGAGCUGUUUAAGUAUCCAGUCUAGGAUUGAUUCUGGGGCUCAGCAUACAUUUGGGGGAAUGUAGAACAUUUGUCCCUAUGUGAAAUCCUCUUCCAAUCUUUAAAAGUCCCCCAAAUUCACCAAUAGUGAUGCUCUAAACAGGUGAAAACAUUAUCUCAUCACUUUAGGAUUUAUUUAAUCCAGGUCUGCAGAUAUAACACUGAAUACGACAGCUGAAUCCCUUGUUCUCAGAGACACUUGAAAGAAAGGAAACUGGGAUGGAUAAGAUAGAUAGAUGACAGAUUUCAGAUAUUGGGCUUUGUUAGUCCUUCCGUGAAGCCUGGGAGAGAAUAAACUAAGACUGUUACUUGUCGUAAGUUAUACAUCUGGAGUCAUCCAUCUACUGAAAAUACAUUUCUCCAGUUAAUUGUGCUCAUGACUUUGGCCUGAGUUGACUCAGAUUCCACCUGGGGAAAGUAUCAAAGGCAAUGAUGGAAUAACUGUAGAGGAGGGGCUGACCUCUGCUAGCUGCCACCUUUUUUGAUCCAACACUACACAUGAGAUGCAAACAUCAUCAGAGACAAAUUCUGGUCUAAGAAUCAACCUCCUUAUUCUCAGAUUGGGAAUACGGAGCCUCGCUGAGGUUUAAUUGAACUGAUGAAAGCUGGAGCUGCACUCAGACCUUCUGGCUCCUUGUCUGGGUCCAUCCUUGAGGAGCACUACCCUGGCACUCCUAUGUCUCCACCUCCUUUGAUGACUUCUCUUCCUCAUUAGGAAUGGGCAUUCCCCAGUAUUCCAUCUUUGACCCUCCUUCAUCCUCUAUAAAAUCCAAGCCUGUCCUUUCUUAUAACUUUAGCUACCACCACCUCUAGGCCCAAAUCUUUAUUACCAGUUCUUCCAAGUCCCAAACUCAUUUUGUUUAACCUCAUGCUGAAUGUUUCCAACUGUGUGUAUCACCGUUUCUUCAAACACAAUGUGACUAAAGCAGAAUUCAUCUCAUAAGUAAGAGCCCUCCGCAUGAACUCUCCUUUUCCACAUCAGCUGUCUUCUUUUUCCUCCCAAUGUCUACAUCUCUGUUAUUGGUACCACCAUCCUUGAAAGAACAAUUUCUAGAAUCAAGCCUUUAUUCCUCCAGUGACGUGGACAAGGGAACCAGCAGAAAUAAUAAAUACCACUCAGUCAAGAUAUUAAUACACUCUGCUUCUCCCUGUUGUACUGCCCUGCUUUUACUGUCUGUAAGAAAUAAAAUAAAAAGUAUGGGGAGGGAUAAAUUAGGAAUUUAGGA